AUUGAACGCUGGCGGCAGGCCUAACACAUGCAAGUCGAACGAGUGGCGGCCGGGUGAGUAAUGUCUGGGAAACUGCCUGAUGGAGGGGGAUAACUACUGGAAACGGUAGCUAAUACCGCAUACCAUCGGAUGUGCCCAGAUGGGAUUAGCUAGUAGGGGGGGUAAAGGCUCACCUAGGCGACGAUCCCUAGCUGGUCUGAGAGGAUGACCAGCCCAACUGGAACUGAGACCAGGUCCAGACUCCUACGGGAGGCAGCAUGGGGGAAUAUUGAACAAUGGGCGCAAGCCUGAUGCAGCCAUGCCGCGUGUAUGAAGAAGGCCUUCUGGUUGUAAAGUACUUUCAGCGGGGAGGCGUUACCCGCAGAAGAAGCACCGGCUAACUCCGUGCCAGCAGCCGCGGUAAUUC
rnacentral:rRNA from 1 species